rnacentral:rRNA from 1 species
UACGUAGGGUCCGAGCGUUGUCCGGAAUUAUUGGGCGUAAAGAGCUCGUAGGCGGUUUGUCGCGUCUGCUGUGAAAUCCCGAGGCUCAACCUCGGGCCUGCAGUGGGGUACGGGCAGACUAGAGUGCGGUAGGGGAGACUGGAAUUCCUGGUGUAGCGGUGAAAAUGCGCAGAUAUCAGGGAGGGAACACCCGGUGGGCGAAAGGCGGG